rnacentral:lncRNA from 1 species
CUUGAGGAAGGGCGUUUGUGAUUGGUGGGUUCUGCCGCGGCCGGGAAGUUCGAACAGAAGUCUGGGGAAGAGCCGGCGAAGAGCAAAGAGAUAAUACAGUACUCCCAGCUAUAGCAAGCGGCAGUUAUGGAGCAUGCGCAGCAGCAGGGGCGGCCGCAGGUCGCCGUUCAAUAAUACUCAAGGGAUUUGUACAGCCCUGUAGGAGACACCUCCAGAGAAAGUAACAGCUCUCAAUUGAUUAGCUGAGGAGCAUGGUCAUAUAAAUUGUUAUUUAUUCAAAUUAUGGAAUAUUAUAAAGCAGUGAAAAACAAGUUAACUAUAACCAGAUGGAAUAACUUUGGUGAGUCUUGGAAAUAUAAUGUUGAGUAAAAAAAGCAAAUUACAAACAAAUGUAAAACAUGACACCAUGUAAGUUUGAAAGCAGACAACUGAACAAUAUGGUUUAGGAAUACACACAUACAUUUGUGGGCAAAGCUAUUAUAGAUAGAUCUAAGCACAUUCUACCAAGAAAAAAAAAACCUAUUAUGGAAAGCAAGGGAACUGUAAAUAUGAAAAUACAAAAGGUAGUUGUUUUUGGAAGGAGUGGCAGAGGAAGAGAAUGUAAUCAGGAGGGGCUCAAAGGACCUAAAAGGCAAUGUUCCUUUUCUUAAGCUGGUUUGUGGCUACGUGGAUGUUUAUUAUUAUUAUUUUUUGGUUUUUCUUGA